rnacentral:rRNA from 1 species
GACGAACGCUGGCGGCGUGCUUAACACAUGCAAGUCGAACGGAAAGGCCCUGCUUGCAGGGUACUCGAGUGGCGAACGGGUGAGUAACACGUGGGUGAUCUGCCCUGCACUUCGGGAUAAGCUUGGGAAACUGGGUCUAAUACCGGAUAGGAGCCAUCUUUAGUGUGGUGGUUGGAAAGUUUUUUCGGUGUAGGAUGAGCUCGCGGCCUAUCAGCUUGUUGGUGGGGUAAUGGCCUACCAAGGCGGCGACGGGUAGCCGGCCUGAGAGGGUGUACGGCCACGUUGGGACUGAGAUACGGCCCAGACUCCUACGGGAGGCAGCAGUGGGGAAUAUUGCACAAUGGGCGCAAGCCUGAUGCAGCGACGCCGCGUGGGGGAUGAAGGCCUUCGGGUUGUAAACUCCUUUCGCUAGGGACGAAGCUUUUUUGUGACGGUACCUAGAUAAGAAGCACCGGCUAACUACGUG